GAUGAACGCUAGCGGCAGGCCUAACACAUGCAAGUCGAGGGGCAGCACAGGUAGCAAUACUGGGUGGCGACCGGCGGAUGGGUGCGUAACGCGUAUGCAACCUACCAUUGAUUGGGGCAUAGCCCGAAGAAAUUCGGAUUAAUACUCCAUAAUAUUCAUCAAAGGCAUCUUUUAUGAAUUAAAGCUUUUGCGAUCAAUGAUGGGCAUGCGUGACAUUAGUUAGUUGGUGAGGUAACGGCUCACCAAAACGAUGAUGUCUAGGGGUUCUGAGAGGAUUAUCCCCCACACUGGUACUGAGACACGGACCAGACUCCUACGGGAGGCAGCAGUGAGGAAUAUUGGUCAAUGGACGCAAGUCUGAACCAGCCAUGCCGCGUGCAGGAUGACGGCCCUAUGGGUUGUAAACUGCUUUUCCACGGAAGAACCCUCCGACGUGUCGGAGACUGACGGUACCGUGGGAAUAAGCAUCGGCUAACUCCGUG
rnacentral:rRNA from 1 species